UGUUUUGCAUCAAUCUUGAUACAGGGUACUUAUUAUAUGUUAUAGUUUGCAGAGCUGCUAAGUCUCACCCUUUGAGAGUGAGAGUCACACAAUUUAACCUCUUCACACGCCUCACGCCACACUUGCCAUUUCACACGAUGUUUCCCCCCUCUCACUACUUUAUAAUUAUUUUUUUAUUUAAUGAUAUAUUUCCAUAACUUGUUGCUUGAGGCUUGCCGUAGUUCGAAUCAGGGACAGGGUGAGUCCGCCCUAUUCUGCCCCCGAUUGGCUGACCGAGAUAUGUGAUAACCAAUCAUCAGCCCUCGAGGCUAAAUCUAACCAACCCAACAAAAGGCACCACGUAUACAAACCAAUCAGAGGCAGCUUAGGGCGGGUCAUUGCGUCUCUAUCCUAUGAAGAACAACCUAACUCUAUGGCGGAGAAAUCGAAAAGUAAACGUGAAACGUCUGUGUCAGCGCCUCAAUAAUGCCGUGACUGACAUUUUCAUCUGAAGCGGGAGGUCAAACGAUACAGAGUUUCAUCCGCAAGUUGCUCUCGAAGUUUCUGAAGCCAACAGCACUGCAGCACCGGGAAUUGCAUGAAAUCCUCUAUAAGGACCCAUCAAACCAACUGCCAGGAGAAAAGCUGGUGAUCGGCUUCACUACUCGAGCUACACUCAACAGGCUCCUUGAUGCAGGAGACAUUACACUGCAGCAAGUGCAGAGGUUCCAGCAGGCAGCAGUGGCGUUUCUGGUGAGGGCUGUGGAGUAUGCCAUGAAGAAACUCCACAUGAGAGAGCCCCUGAUAAAACAUGCCAUGUUUCUGGAUGUCCAGCAGAGGGUAGAGUGUGGAGUGGAAAAUGCCUUGUACUUUAUCGACAAGUCAAGUACAUUUAUCUAUAGUGCCAAAUCACAACACAAGUUAUCUCAAUAUACUUAAUAAGUAGAGCAGGUUAAAGACUCUUGGCUCUUGUCACAUGUUCUUAACAUUUUCUUAAUAGAUUGUAAAGUUUAAUUACCACAUCUGAAAAACAACCCGUUUCAGCUACAUUACUUUACCAGAUCAGUGCACAUUGUGUUCUUUUUAGGUUUUGUUACAUUCCCUUGUAGAUCUAGGGGUACCAAGGGAAGUAGCGACACACAAGAUAGCCGGACGAGAGAAAAAGGAGAGGAAACUGAAUGCUGAAGGAGUUUAAGUGAGGUUUUAAUUAGUAAAUAAGUAAGGCGGCUCACCAGCCAAAUGACAAAACAAACUUACAAUAAACAACACACAACUAUGCUGGGUCUCACACAGAGACAUGCUGCACACAUGCAGCCAGAUGAGAAGGAGAGAAAAGGCCUCUCACUGCCGUCCUCCUCCGGUCCUAUAUGGAAGCCCUGAUUGUCAAUUAGGAGCACCUGGGGAGAGGCUGCACCUGGGGACAAUCAGAGGGAGAGAGAGGAAAACACACACACACACUACGGCACGUAACACUUCCCCCCAUAAAACCAAACCAGUGUUUGGUCACAGUUACCAACAACACUCAUUACAUAAUUCACAAGCAUACUAUAGAAUGCUUGGAAGCUGCCACCUGCUGCUUCCAAGCCACACACUCCGCCACUAAAUGACCCGGGUCAAGACAAUAAAAACACAAUCUCUUAGUGUCGGGACCUGGGAGAGCAACAGAAUGAGCACGUGUAACACGUCUGUUACGAGCCCUACAGUGAGGAUAACUGCCCUGAGGAUACACUUUACCCCCGGCUAUAUCAUUACCCAUUAUGACAUCCACACCGUCGACAGGAAAUUUGGGGAGCACAGCAACUGGAAAGAAACCAGUAGCCAGUUUGGACUGGACAUGGACCUUGUGGAGAGGUGCAGGCACAAAACCAAUUUCAAUACCUCUUACCACGGCACUUACAUCACAGGCGGACUCAUUACUCAAGGGCAGGGCACUCGCAAAAUUGAACGACUGUGAGCCGCCACUGUCUCGUAACAUAGUAACCUGCCACUGAUCCUCCACCUUCCCUGACAGAGAGACAAAAGCAUUGGAGAUGAAUGGCUUAAAACACUCAUCAGGGCCCAUUUUAACAGUGACCUGCCUACUAGGACACACUGUUUUAAUCAAGCCCACCCCUUUUGGGUGCUUGCCACCUGCUGCCCGCUCUCGCUUCCAAGCUGCACAGUCUGCUAUCAUAUGACCUGGGUCAAGACAAAAAUAACAAGCUCUGUCUAUCCUGGGACCUAACAAUGGAACACUGGCACAGGGAACAUAAUUGUCAGGAGCUCUCCGAUAAGUGUCCCGCUGAGGAGGAUCCCGCUGAAAAAAACCACUCUUGUUUAUCAGCGCAAACUCGUCUGCCAGAGUGGCAGCCUGCUGAAGGGUAGUCACUUUCUGCUCAUUCAGGUAGACUACCGUACGCUCCGGUACACCGUUUUUAAACUCCUCUAACAUCAUCAGCUCACAGACUUAAGUAAUGUCAUCAGCUUUACACGCUCUACACCACCUGUCAAAGAGGACUUUCUUCUCCCUCGCGAAGUCCACGUAUGUUUGGCCAGAAGCUUUCUUCAUGCCGCGAAAACGCUGCCUGUAGACCUCAGGCACAAGCUCAUAUGCCCUGAGAAUAGCACCUUUCACCUUGACAUACUCCAAACUAUCCUCAACAGAAAGAGAAGAGCAAGCCGCUUGAGCCUUGCCGACUAGCUUGCACUGUAAAAGAAUAGCCCACACGUCUUCUGGCCAAUGCAGGGCAGCAGCAAUGCGCUCGAAUGCACCAAAAUAGACUUCCACCUCUGAUUUCCGAAACACAGGGACCAAAUAAAUAUGCCGGCUCACGUCAAAGGAGGCAGCAGGACCAGAAGGUGUAACUGCAGAAUCACCCACCACAGCUGCUUGGAGCUCUAGCUAACGCAUCCGGACAGCAGUGUCUGCCUCCAACUUCCUGAUCUCCAUCUCCUUCCUGAGCUGAAACUCUCGCUCACGCUCCUCCCUCUCACACUGGAGACGAGCCAUACGCACUUUUACCCUGGCAUCUCAUUUAGACCCCGUAGGUGAGGAUCCUGCCGAAAACGAGUCAAACUGAGGUGUGGUGAAAAUGUUUGCCUGUUCCGUAGCACUCUGAACCACCGUGCCAGGAGAUUCCACUAAAGCAGGCCGCCUCAAAACCCCCUGUUCAACUAGUCCAGUUAUCAAAGUAGCCUUGAGUUCACUUUUUACCAGAGCCGAGGAGACAGAAACAUGAUAAUGGUCAGCAACUAACCGCAAAUCAACCUUCCUGCACCCGUCUAGCUGACCCACAGUAGGACUGGCCACAAACUGCUCCACCACAAAAACCAUCCUUAGCAACGGCUACUUACAAAUAUUAUUAUUUAUUUAUUUACAAACUUCCCCAGAUCCUGCCUACCAAACUUUACCUAACUAUCUUCUGGAGCGUGCCGGGCUCGAGGCGACUUUAAAGGCAAACAUCAGCGGCCGAAACCCUGAAUCGCCUGCCCCCAACAGGGAAUAAAUCCCCACCCAGGAUUACCCCGAAAAUAAAAAAGGCAAAAUAAAAAAUGAGUGCCUGAAGGAAGGACUGAUUCAGUCCAGCUAGACACUCCCCUCUCUAAACUGAGGAAGAUGUUCAACAGUAAAUAAUUUCACAGCCAAUUCUACACUUAUAUACACUACUGCUCACCACCAAACACAAUAUCAACACUAACCAACAACCAAAUACUCACUCUUUGUCUCAAAGAUUGGACGAGCCCCCAUGUUACGUUCCCUUGUAGAUCUAGGGGUACCAAGGGAAGUAGCGACACACAAGAUAGCCGGACGAGAGAAAAAGGAGAGGAAACUGAAUGCUGAAGGAGUUUAAGUGAGGUUUUAAUUAGUAAAUAAGUAAGGCGGCUCACCAGCCAAAUGACAAAACAAACUUACAAUAAACAACACACAACUAUGCUGGGUCUCACACAGAGAAUGCAGCCAGAUGAGAAGGAGAGAAAAGGCCUCUCACUGCCGUCCUCCUCCGGUCCUAUAUAGAAGCCAUAAGCCCUGAUUGUCAAUUAGGAGCACCUGGGGAGAGGCUGCACCUGGGGACAAUCAGAGGGAGAGAGAGGAAAACACACACACACGGACACACACUACGGCACGUAACAGGUUUCCUGAACUUCUCCCAUACAACGGACCUGACAAGCGUGACAAACUGAGUGAGGAGUUUCUGGACUACCAGUCCAUGGACAUUGCCAUGCCCGAAGACCCAGCCACGUUCGACAUUGAGAGCUUUUGGGGGAACAUGGCAUCAAUGAAGAAGAAGGUGACCGGUAUGAGCAGAUUUGGGAGGCUCUCCCGUAUUGCCAAGUUGGUGUUGGUACUUCCACAUUCAAAUGCUGAUGCUGAACGAGUGUUCUCUGUGGUGGGAUUGAACAAAACCCGAAAAACUGUUUGGCUCUUGAUGGAACUCUAUCAUCCAUCAUGACUGUGAAGAUGGCAAACCUUGAGCCACAGUGUUUCAAAUGGGAGCCCCCUCCCUCUGUCAUCAAGGCAUCAACAUCUGCCACAAACACCUACAACAUGAGACAUGUCAUGUAAACCAACACACACAAACAAAGACAUGCACUUUAUUUAUUUAUUAUUAAUUUUGUUACUCUUAAAAAAAAAAUGCACUAAGGAAAAGGCUGCUAUU